CAGUAAACCACCAGCCGGCCUGUCCGUGCUGCUGAGAACAGUCGCAACCACAGUCAUCAUUGUCCCUGUCCACAGUGGAGAACCCUUGACCGUUGAUGUAGAUACUCAUCGAGUCUCCCGCGGUGCCUGAAUACCCGGAUAUCUGAGGAACAGCGGCCGAGUUCGGUGCAAGUGGAAUAUUUGCCGCGGCGCGUUUGAGGGCUAUUGACAUCCCUGUACCAUUGUUUGAAGAAUGGAUUGCAGCUGCUACUCUCCCCGCUAAGGUGCCUGCCGGACAUUGGAGGUCUGUGCCCGGCAGCCAUUGGGGAUAAAGCGGAAGCGCGGGGGAGAAGCGGAAUUACAUCGGGGGGUAAAGAU